GAUGAACGUUGGCGGUGUGCCUAAUACAUGCAAGUCGAACGGAGUUAGUAGCAAUACUGGCUCAGUGGCGAACGGGUGAGUAACGCGUUGGUGAUCUGCCUUGAAGUGUGGAAUAACGUUUCGAAAGGAACGCUAAUACCGCAUGUGCUCUCGAUUUUCAGAAAGUUGAAAGUAAAGGAUUUAUUCGCUUCAAGAGGAGCCUGCGUCCCAUCAGCUGGUUGGUAGGGUAACGGCCUACCAAGGCUAUGACGGGUAGGGGACCUGAGAGGGUGGCCCCCCACAAUGGAACUGAAACACGGUCCAUACACCUACGGGUGGCAGCAGUAGGGAAUAUUAGAAAUGGACGAAAGUCUGAUCUAGCAACACCGCGUGUGCGAAGAAGGCCUUCGGGUCGUAAAGCACUUUUUGGAAGGAAUAGGAAGGAAUGUACUUCCAGAAUAAGUCUCGGCUAACUACGUG
rnacentral:rRNA from 1 species